UCUGAUUAUGAUUAUUCUUCAGUUGUACCUGCAUUAGGCCCAGCUUCUAAGCUCCAAAUUAUCAUGCCAAUCAAGAAUGCCACUCAACUGAUACCGCAGGGAAUGUGAAAUGAAUUAGCAAGUGAGAAUUAUGAUUUUAAACAACUGAUACAAAUUAAUUAAACUGAAAUUCUGAUUUCACUUUUUCCAGCAUGCGUUUGAAUCAAGUCAGCUAUGUGAAAUGUCCGACAACAACUAUACAAGCCAUUGGGCUCAGCAGAUAAGUCCAAUGCAUCCAGCGUGCUAUCCUCUCUUGAAAAUGGCCCAGAAAUCUAAGGUUCCAUGGACCAAAGACUUGCAAAAACCCAAAAUUGGAAAUUAAGACUCAAAAUCAAGUCCGAUCCAACACCAAGGCCUCAACAAGCUAUCAGCUCUCCAAACAUUUCUAACAUCUCAUGCAUUGAUAACAAACAACAGUGGUUCAUACUUGCAAUUAAUUUCUAAAUUAUUCUCACAACAAAACAUAGGAAAUUUAAGCCCACUCAGACCAUUUAAAUGGCAGUUUUAACUAUGUAAAAUACUGCAAAACUUUCCAAAUUGCAAAGUAAGACCUUAAACUACAGGAACACUAACUUAACACACUCAAAUAACCUUCUAUUACAUCAUGUCUGACAAUUCACUCAUAUGAUAGAUCUCAAUCCUUAUUACAAUGCCGACAUUCUGAAUUUAAACCUCUAUUCUAAAUAGCCAACACAGCCUUAAACCAAUAGCAUGAACAAGCGAACCAACACAUGCAAAUAAAAUUAAGUUACUAUAGAACUGGGGAAUUUACUAACAUAAGAUAACCAAAUCUAGCAGUAAUUACAACAAGAGAUGGUGUUUUCAUUUAAAUUCCAACUCAAGUUUCCAGAUCUUUACAUAAAUUCAGUCAGGCUUCAAUUCCAUGACAGUCUCAAAGGCAUGUCUGAAAAUUGCAAAGGAAAAAGAAGUGAAGGAUUGGCAGUAAACAGUAGAACAAAAGCACAGCAGUAUCAAUGCAACAGUGUCGUUGCAGCAGCUUGAAACCCUGUCUUUAAACCCAAAAUCAAACCACUUCCCAACCCAGGUGCAAGAUGUAAAAAAUUUCAGAGAUUUUAACUAAUGAAGAAGAUCAGAGACCUCUAGCUAAUACAAAAUUUGAUCAGUUUUAUCAAAGAAAAUUGGUGGAAAUUAGUGUAGUUUCAGAAUUUUUCAGCUUUUUUGUUCUCUCAGAUUUUUUUUUCUUGAAUAGCAAGUCUUGGUACCUUUAUAGGCAAGGCACUAGGGAAGCUUAAAAUGAACCAUGUUUUGCACUUCUACCCUUUUUAUAUUUUGGUUUUUGCUUAUAUACCCCUAAUAUAAAAUUCAGAAUUUCAAAAUAGUCCCAAACCCCCUUUCCUGGAAGCUUCCUAUUCAGUUACUACAAAUUCCCUCACCUAGAUUUCCUAAAUUACCCUCCAAUUCCCUCGUUUUUACUUUAGUCUCAACUAUCUAACCUUCAGCUCAUGGGUCAAUUUAAAUAGGACCCCAUCCAGACUAUGGGCCUGAAUACUAUAGCCCAGUUCCAUCAGCUUCAGGCCAUUAGCCAUUGAGCAUUGAGGCUAGAUGAACAAGGCUGUCUGGGCCAAAGAAAGAAAAGAAAAAGAAACAAGGGAGGCAGAGAACUGAGUCCAGAGAACUUAAACGAUUCCAACAAAACAAAAAAACAAACUCAAUUAACCUAUCAGCAAUUAUGAACCAGGAAAAUGAAUUCAAACAAAACAACCAAACGGGCUACUUAAUAGCAUAUGGCCCCAAAAGAACUUAAACGAUUUUAAUACUAACUAUGAACACCAACCGAAUUAAUUCUAACCCUUCUAACAAAAUUUAAACAAUAUUAACUCAUGACUACUACUUAACAAGACUAGUUAGAAACAGAAACAGAGGGACAAGAAAAGAAAAGGAAAGAAUAAAGAUGGAGUAGAAAUAGAAUAUGAAAAGACAUGGUCAAGGAAUACCUAAGGUCGGAGACCAAUGGCUUGAGAGACUUGUCCGGCAACCUCCGAUUCGACCCAAAACUGGUAUUAGUCGCAUGUUCUCUUUGAGAACAAACGAACAAUGCUAGUUCCAGGCCCGAUCAUUCAUGGAAACUUGAAAGCUUUAAAGGCCUCCUUUUCUUUGUUUUUAGAUCUGCAACUGACCCGAUUUGGUGAGGAUUUGGGGGGAGAAGGCGAUGGAUUGGGACUCAAGGACGAACAAUGGUUGUAUGGUUAGAUUUUGGUGGUGUUUGGAAAAGGUUAGGUUGUUGGUCUAGUUUUUGAUUUAAGAUUCGAGACGAACCAGUGGGAUUCGAAGGACAUAGGUUAGGAAUUUGGGAAGAGGAGAUGAAGGAGGUCUUGGGGUGUAUUUUUUGUGGCGUUUGGAGGCGGCUGCUAGGGUUCAGGGCUUGGUCUCUGAAGGGUGAAUUGGGAGAGGCGAGUGAGGGGUGGGGGGG
rnacentral:lncRNA from 1 species